rnacentral:rRNA from 1 species
AGAGUUUGAUCAUGGCUCAGGAUGAACGCUGGCGGCAUGCCUAAGACAUGCAAGUCGAACGAGAUGGCCCAGUGAAGGUUGAGUGCUUGCACGAGACUGAAUCUGGAUUCCCAUCUAGUGGCAGACGGGUGAGUAACACGUGGGUGACCUACCUUUUCGUUGGGGAUAACAGUUGGAAACGAUUGCUAAUACCGAAUAAAAUGUAAGAGUCAAUUUUACAUUGAAAGGAGCCUUUAAAGCUUCGCGUA